rnacentral:rRNA from 1 species
UACGGAGGAUGCGAGCGUUAUCCGGAUUUAUUGGGUUUAAAGGGUGCGUAGGCGGUCUUUUAAGUCAGUGGUGAAAUUUUGUGGCUCAACCAUGAACGUGCCAUUGAUACUGAAGGACUUGAGUGCAGACGAGGAAGGCGGAAUGUGUUAUGUAGCGGUGAAAUGCUUAGAUAUAACACAGAACACCGAUUGCGAAGGCAGCUUUCCAGACUGUAACUGACGCUGAUGCACGAAAGCGUGGGUAGCGAACAGG